rnacentral:ncRNA from 1 species
ACCGCCGAAUUUAAGCAUAUUACUAAACGGAGGAAAAGAAACUAACUAGGAUUCCCUCAUCGGCGGCGAGCGCACAUGGAAGAGCCCAUCACCGAAUCCCGCGGCCGGUUAACGCCGGGAAAUGUGGUGUUAGGAAUCCUGAGAUCGCUCGGCACGCCCAAGUUCUUCUUGAACACUUACCCAUAGGAGGUGCCAGGCCCGCAGUUGAUCGCCGUCGAUCGCAGGAAGAUCAUCCCUCAGAGUUGGGUUGUUUGAGAAUGCAGCCCUAAGUGGGUGGUAAACUUCACCUAACGCUAAAUAUAACCACGUUUUGGAGGUUUAAUAAACUUUUU